UCUCUGCCUGACUAAUUCAAGUAGGAUGGAAAAUUCCAAACACGAGGUGAGCCCUGGCAUGCUCUCUCCUCGUAGUUCUACUUGUCAGUGUUCGCAGUCAACUACAUCUCCCGAAGCAGCCAACAAGUCCAAGUUGCAGAAUCCUUUAUUCACAGUAGUCAACUGAUCACAUAACCUAUUGAAGCAAAAUGUGCUCCGCACACUGUCCCAGGCGGUUUUCUAAAGGGACGCGUCAAUGAAAGCAUGCAAACCGCAACUCUUAAAUAUUCAGACAGAUCAUGGCUAGUGAAGCUUCUGUACUACCCACAGCAUGGCGCGGGAAAGCUCUCUGCCGGUUUUGGCGCGUUUCAGAGAGGAACAUCUCUAAA